AAAUUGAAGAGUUUGAUCAUGGCUCAGAUUGAACGCUGGCGGCAGGCCUAACACAUGCAAGUCGAGCGGUAGCACAGAGAGCUUGCUCUCGGGUGACGAGCGGCGGACGGGUGAGUAAUGUCUGGGAAACUGCCUGGUGGAGGGGAUAACUACUGGAAACGGUAGCUAAUACCGCAUAACGUCGCAAGACCAAAGUGGGGGACCUUCGGGCCUCAUGCCAUCAGAUGUGCCCAGAUGGGAUUAGCUAGUAGGUGGGGUAAUGGCUCACCUAGGCGACGAUCCCUAGCUGGUCUGAGAGGAUGACCAGCCACACUGGAACUGAGACACGGUCCAGACUCCUACGGGAGGCAGCAGUGGGGAAUAUUGCACAAUGGGCGCAAGCCUGAUGCAGCCAUGCCGCGUGUAUGAAGAAGGCCUUCGGGUUGUAAAGUACUUUCAGCGAGGAGGAAGGCAUUAAGGUUAAUAACCUUAGUGAUUGACGUUACUCGCAGAAGAAGCACCGGCUAACUCCGUGCCAGCAGCCGCGGUAAUACGGAGGGUGCAAGCGUUAAUCGGAAUUACUGGGCGUAAAGCGCACGCAGGCGGUCUGUCAAGUCGGAUGUGAAAUCCCCGGCUCAACCUGGAACUGCAUCCGAAACUGGCAGGCUAGAGUCUUGUAGAGGGGGUAGAAUUCCGGUGUAGCGGUGAAAUGCGUAGAGAUCAGGAGUAAUGACGGUGGCGAAGGCGGCCCCUGGACAAAGACUGACGCUCAGGUGCGAAAGCGUGGGGAGCAAACAGGAUUAGAUACCCUGGUAGUCCACGCUGUAAACGAUGUCGACUUGGAGGUUGUUCCCUGAGGAGUGGCUUCCGGAGCUAACGCGUUAAGUCGACCGCCUGGGGAGUACGGCCGCAAGGUUAAAACUCAAAUGAAUUGACGGGGCCCGCACAAGCGGUGGAGCAUGUGGUUUAAUUCGAUGCAACGCGAAGAACCUUACCUACUCUUGACAUCCAGAGAACUUAGCAGAGAUGCUUUGGUGCCUUCGGGAACUCUGAGACAGGUGCUGCAUGGCUGUCGUCAGCUCGUGUUGUGAAAUGUUGGGUUAAGUCCCGCAACGAGCGCAACCCUUAUCCUUUGUUGCCAGCGAUUCGGUCGGGAACUCAAAGGAGACUGCCAGUGAUAAACUGGAGGAAGGUGGGGAUGACGUCAAGUCAUCAUGGCCCUUACGAGUAGGGCUACACACGUGCUACAAUGGCAUAUACAAAGAGAAGCGACCUCGCGAGAGCAAGCGGACCUCAUAAAGUAUGUCGUAGUCCGGAUUGGAGUCUGCAACUCGACUCCAUGAAGUCGGAAUCGCUAGUAAUCGUAGAUCAGAAUGCUACGGUGAAUACGUUCCCGGGCCUUGUACACACCGCCCGUCACACCAUGGGAGUGGGUUGCAAAAGAAGUAGGUAGCUUAACCUUCGGGAGGGCGCUUACCACUUUGUGAUUCAUGACUGGGGUGAAGUCGUAACAAGGUAACCGUAGGGGAACCUGCGGUUGGAUCACCUCCUUA
rnacentral:rRNA from 1 species